rnacentral:rRNA from 1 species
GACAGAGGGUGCAAACGUUGUUCGGAAUUACUGGGCGUAAAGCGCAUGUAGGCGGCUCGUAAAGUCAGAUGUGAAAGCCCUGGGCUUAACCCAGGAAGUGCAUUUGAAACUCACGAACUUGAGUCCCGGAGAGGAAGGCGGAAUUCUCGGUGUAGAGGUGAAAUUCGUAGAUAUCGGGAGGAACACCAGUGGCGAAGGCGGCUAUCUGGACGUCCACUGACGCUGAGGCGCGAAAGCGUGGGGAGCAAACAGG